rnacentral:lncRNA from 1 species
CCAGAAAGUAAUGGAUGAAGUAGAGAAAGCACGGGCAAAGAAAAGAGAAGCAGAGGAAGUUUAUCGGAAUUCUAUGCCAGCUUCCAGUUUUCAGCAGCAGAAACUUCGAGUCUGUGAAGUCUGCUCUGCCUAUUUAGGACUUCAUGAUAAUGACAGACGACUGGCUGAUCAUUUUGGGGGUAAACUGCACCUGGGAUUUAUUGAAAUAAGAGAGAAGCUUGAAGAAUUAAAGAGAGUCGUAGCUGAGAAGCAGGAGAAAAGAAACCAGGAACGGCUGAAACGAAGAGAAGAGAGAGAGAGAGAAGAAAGGGAGAAGCUGAGGAGGUCCCGAUCACACAGCAAGAAUCCAAAAAGAUCCAGGUCCAGAGAGCAUCGCAGACAUCGAUCUCGCUCCAUGUCACGUGAACGCAAGAGGAGAACUCGAUCCAAAUCUCGGGAGAAACGCCAUCGCCACAGGUCCCGCUCCAGCAGCCGUAGCCGCAGCCGUAGCCACCAGAGAAGUCGGCACAGUUCUAGAGAUAGGAGCAGAGAACGAUCCAAGAGGAGGUAUUGAUGUGUCAAUCAGAGGAUAUGGAGCUACCUUAAUGUUUUAGAGUUGUUUAUGUUUACUUAUGUUACUUAUGUUUAGAGUUCAGAUUAUUGGUUUGAAACUUUUGCAUCUGGUAAUAUGUACACAUUUAUGUGUGGGUGUACAACAUUUUUCUGUGAUUAUAUGGGUAGUUUUGAAAGAAUAUACUUAUGAGCCAGAGCAAGAAAUUGGAACCAAUAUGUGUAGAGGUUAUUGCUUUUCUCUGCUUAGUGUGUCUUGGAAAAAAGUUCUUUACAGGUAAAUAAUUUUAAAUACCAAUACCCUUAGUAUGGAUCAGCAAAUUAGGGGCUCUGAGAAGUCCUUUCAUUACAAGAGUUGUUUAGCUUUGAUUUAUUGUUUUCUAAACUUAUUUGAGCUGGGAUGCUUUUUCAGAGCAGACACAUUCUAGUAUAUUCUUGUUUUAUCUGCACUAUAGAUAUGUAUUGUUACAUACCUUCAGCUUGGCAAGGCAGACUAAUAAGGAGGUUCCAAGACUUCCCUUGGUUUAAUGAGAACAUUCAAAAGGUGCAGGCAUAGGGUAAGGUAUGUUUGAGGACUUGAAUAUCUAUUAAGGAUAGACAAAGGAUUAUAAUGUGGUAGAAGAGUUUAGCAUUCAUAGUCUGUAUAGAUCAAACUGUCAAAACUUCUCAGGUCACAUGAUGGCCCUUAAACCAGGUAAUUUCUGUGUAACGUAAGCCAUGUUUAAAAUUGCUUUUUUCUUGACAACUAUUCAGAAGUAUAUGUAUGAUAAACAUUUUUUGAGUGCCUAGUACCUACUAGUCUUACAUAUUCUGUGGAUUACUCCACAUAAAAUCUAUAAUAAAAUCCACAGAAAGCUGUUAAAAUCUUUCCUAUUUUUUUUUGACUCAACUUUCCAUUCCCUGAAAUCACUCACAAGCUGAGUUUGUUAAUAGGCUCUCAAUAUUUUAUUUCUUAUAUUCUGGCCUUGUUUUUAGUAUUUCUUAAGGUGAUUUUAAUAAUAAUUAAUUGUAUAUGUUUUACUGUACUAGACUUAGUAAAACAUAAGAAAGACGUAUAACAUAGUUGAACAACUUUAAGUUGCUCUAAGAAGUUUCCUAUGUGAGGCUGGGUGCCAUGGCUCACGCUUAUAAUCCCAGCACUUUGGGAGACCGAGAUGGGCGUAUCACUUGAGAUCAGGAGUUCAAGACCAGCCUGGCCAACCAACCCCAUCUCUACUAAAAUACAAACAUUAGCCGGGCAUGGUGGCACAUGCCUGUAAUCCCAGCUACUCAGGAGGCUGAGGAAGGAGAAUUGCUUGAACACAAAGGUGGAGGUUGCAGUGAGCCAAGAUCGCACCACUGCACUCCAGCCUGGGUGACAGAGCGAGACUCCAGCUCUCAAAACAAAAAAAAACAAAC